AGUGAACGCUGGCGGUAGGCCUAACACAUGCAAGUCGAACGGCAGCACAGUAAGAGCUUGCUCUUACGGGUGGCGAGUGGCGGACGGGUGAGGAAUACAUCGGAAUCUACUUUUUCGUGGGGGAUAACGUAGGGAAACUUACGCUAAUACCGCUUACGACCUACGGGUGAAAGCAGGGGAUCUUCGGACCUUGCGCGAUUGAAUGAGCCGAUGUCGGAUUAGCUAGUUGGCGGGGUAAAGGCCCACCAAGGCGACGAUCCGUAGCUGGUCUGAGAGGAUGAUCAGCCACACUGGAACUGAGACACGGUCCAGACUCCUACGGGAGGCAGCAGCGGGGAAUAUUGGACAAUGGGCGCAAGCCUGAUCCAGCCAUACCGCGUGGGUGAAGAAGGCCUUCGGGUUGUAAAGCCCUUUUGUUGGGAAAGAAAAGCAGCAGGUUAAUACCCCGCUGUUCUGACGGUACCCAAAGAAUAAGCACCGGCUAACUUCGUG
rnacentral:rRNA from 1 species